rnacentral:rRNA from 1 species
GAUGAACGCUGGCGGCGUGCCUAAUACAUGCAAGUCGAGCGAAUGGAUUAAGAGCUUGCUCUUAUGAAGUUAGCGGCGGACGGCUGAGUAACACGUGGGUAACCUGCCCAUAAGACUGGGAUAACUCCGGGAAACCGGGGCUAAUACCGGAUAACAUUUUGAACCGUCUGGCACGAAAUUGAAAGGCGGCUUCGGCUGCCACAUAUGGAUGGAACCGGGUCGCAGUAGCUAGUUGGUGAGGUAACGGCUCAUCAAGGCAACUAUGCGUAGCCGACCUGAGAGGGUGAUCGGCCACACUGGGACUGAGACACGGCCCAGACUCCUACGGGAGGCAGCAGUAGGGAAUCUUCCGCAAUGGACGAAAGUCUGACGGAGCAACGCCGCGUGAGUGAUGAAGGCUUUCGGGUCGUAAAACUCUGUUGUUAGGGAAUAACAAGUGCUAGUUGAAUAAGCUGGCACCUUGACGGUACCUAGCCAGAAAGCCACGGCUAACUACGUGCCAGCCGCCGCGGUAA